UACGGAGGGUGCGAGCGUUGUCCGGAAUCAUUGGCGUAAAGCGCGCGUAGGCGGCCUCGUAAGUCCGUUGUGAAAGUCAAAGGCUCAACCUUUGAAAGCCGAUGGAUACUGUGAGGCUAGAGUCCGGAAGAGGCGAGUGGAAUUCCUGGUGUAGCGGUGGAAUGCGCAGAUAUCAGGAGGAACACCAAUAGCGAAGGCAGCUCGCUGGGACGGUACUGACGCUAAGGCGCGAAAGCGUGGGGAGCGAACAGG
rnacentral:rRNA from 1 species